rnacentral:rRNA from 1 species
CAGCCGCCGCGGUAAUACGUAGGGGGCGAGCGUUGUCCGGAAUUACUGGGCGUAAAGGGCGUGUAGGCGGCCUGUUAAGUCAGGGGUGAAAGACCGGGGCUCAACCCCGGGGGUGCCUCUGAAACUGGCGGGCUUGAGUGCUCUAGAGGGCAGUGGAAUUCCCGGUGUAGCAGUGAAAUGCGUAGAGAUCGGGAGGAACACCAGUGGCGAAGGCGGCUGCCUGGGGGGUCACUGACGCUGAGGCGCGAAAGCUAGGGGAGCAAACAGGAUUAGAUACCCUGGUAGUCCUAGCCGUAAACGAUGAGCGCUAUGUGUGAGGGGUAUCGACCCCCCUCGUGCAGGAGCUAACGCAUUAAGCGCUCCGCCUGGGGAGUACGGCCGCAAGGUUGAAACUUAAAGGAAGUGGCGGG